rnacentral:rRNA from 1 species
UACGUAGGGGCAAGCGUUGUCCGGAAUCAUUGGCGUAAGAGCGUGUAGGCGGCUCGGUAAGUCCGCUGUGAAGUCCAGGCUCAACCCUGGAAUGCCGGUGGAACUGUCGAGCUAGAGUCCGGAAGAGGCGAGUGGAAUUCCUGGUGUAGCGGUGAAAUGCGCAGAUAUCAGGAGGAACACCAAUGGCGAAGGCAGCUCGCUGGGACGGUACUGACGCUGAGACGCGAAGCGUGGGGAGCAAACAGG